AAAAGAAAGAAAAAGAAACAGAAUAGGCAAACGUGAAGCAGGGGAAGGAAAGAAAGAAAGGAGAAAAGAAAGAAAAAAAGGGAAAAUUAAAGGUUUGAAGCUUUAAAGUUUAAUAGGUAAGUCAAUUUAGCCCUUUUUUCUUAAUUUUGAUGUUUUAGAAGCUUUGGAGCCAGAUUUUGAUGAAAUUAAGUUGAUAUUUUGAAAGUUAUUAGAUUUCUAGAUAAUGUUCAUGUUGUGUAAAAUGAUGAAAUAAUGGUUAAAUUGAUAGAAAUUCAAGUUAGAAAUGAAAUAAGGAUUGAAUUGUAAAGUAAUUCAUAAGUUUUAUGUUGAAGGGCUAAUUUAAGGAAAUUUCGAAACUAGUGAAAUAAGCUGAAAAUUUAGUAGUUAAAUUUGAGUUUGGAUGGAACUUGAAUAGAAAUAUAGAGUAUGAAUUAAGUUAGUAAAGUGAAUGAAUUAGUUAGUACCUAAUUGAAAAUAAGGUGUAAAUUGAAUAGAAAUUCAAUUAUUUGUUAUAAUGAGUGCGAAAAUUAAUGGUAUAAUUAUUUUAAUUCCCGUAGCUAAUGUUGUCUCUGGAAAUCUCGGCUAAGCAAGGAAAAAGACAAAGACAAUGGGAGUUACCUCGGAAAUUAUGGUUUGUAUUUAUAUAAUCUGAACUUAAUUCUUAAAUUGUUGGAUUUAUUAUUUAAUAUAUAUAUGUAGUAGGUGUUUUGAGAUGAUUAUUUGAAUUGGAUUGAAUAUUGAUUAUAUUGAAUUGAUUUAUAAAUAUAUGUGAACGUUUGAAUUGAAAUGAAUAUUGAUGUGGAAAUUGAAUAAUAAAUAUUUGUUAUAUUGGAAAAUAUAUGUAGUUGGAAGUGUGAUGAAGUUGAUAGAAAAAUGUGAUUAUUGUGAAAUUGAAUAUUUAUUGGUGAAAAGUGAAUGGAAUUAUAUUGAAUUGAAGAUAUAUAGUUAAUUAAUUAAAAUAUGAAUUAAUUGAAAACUAAAAAGUGAAUUAAAUACCCUAUUAACUAGUCGGGCUAGUCGGAUAUAGUUGGUAUGCCAUAGGAUAUGGAAGAGUAUGGGUUUUGCCGGCUUACUGAUCAGGAACUUAUGUGCCGACUACUGUGACUAUUACCGUUACUAUUACCGAUUCGGCACUUUGUGUGUCGAAUACUGUUAUUGUUACUGUUACUGAUUCAACACUUUGUGUGUCGAAUACCGUUACUGUUACCGAUUCAGCACUUUAUGUGUUGAAUAUUGUUACUGUUACUGUUCUGGAUUCGUUUCGAUGAGGUAUCUGUGUACCGCACUGCUACUGUUACUGUUAAUGUUCCGGCUUCAGCCGAUGAGGCACUAUGUGCUAUACUGGUGUGUUGGUUGGAUCCGUGUAUCCAUUUAGGUCCGAGUCAUGUUAAUAGGGGUAAAUAAAGGAACUGGAAAGAUCGACUGUUACUGAAUAAUUUAAUUGUUACUGUAUAUCUAUUUUGUACUGAAUAAUUGACUGUUACUGGAUAAUCGAUCAAUUGAUUGAUACUGAAUAACUGAUUAUUAUUGAAUAAUUGAUUGUUACCGAAUAACUUGCUAUUACUGAAUAAAUAAUUAUUCUGAUUGACUGAUUGUUAAUAAAUAUUACUGAUUGAUUAAUUGCUAUUGAAAAAUAAUAAAUGAUUUUGAAUUUAAAGUAGACCAAAAUAUUGGUUGGAAAGUGAAUGUUUGAAUACUCAUUGAGUUUGAAUAGUUCAAUAUAUAUAAAUUAUUUUUUUUAUAAUUGUUUAACUGUUCAUAUUAUAGAAAUACCACUGAGUGUAUACUCAGCGUGCGGUUUGUUUCUGUACGCAGGUUAAGUUAAGGCUAGACCGUUGAAUCAACAUCCCAGACCAAUCCCGAAUUCAAUGAGGUAAAGUAUGUUGAGUAAUGGUAAUAGCAUGUACCUAGGAUGUCUUAUGAGAGCCAUCUAAGUUGUGAAAGUAUUGACGAAAUAAGUAAAUUAUGGUUGGCAAUGGUAUAUAGUAUGAAGUUGAAAUAAUUGAUAAAGAAUAAUUGAUAAAGUAAGUGAUAUACUUAAAAAGAUUUAUUGGAUAGGUUAUUAAAUGUUUUAGAUUGGUAAGAUUUGAAUAUAUUUAAGUGUAUUUGGAUUAUUUGAAUGUUGGCAAAUUGUAUUGGUUGAAGUUUUAAUUUGCAGGGUUAGAAACAUUUAUUUUAAUAAAUGACUAUAAUUGAACUGUACAGACCGGUAAUGCCCUGUAAUCCUGUUCCAGGGACGGAUAUGAGUUAGAGGGUGUUAUACGAACACUCGUCGAACACGCCAGAUACAUACAGGACACGCCAGAAUACAUAAAAAAAGUCAAACACGGUCACGAAACCAGUGUCUAAAGACAGACACAUGACAGAUGCAGGAAAAGUAGAUGGUGGCUGACGGACGGUGGCUGAAACUUUGUCGAAACGGCUGGUCUGUGCAAGUGUUUUUGGUGGGUAAACCCUAAAAACAAAAAAAGUAAUUUAUCAGAAGAAGUGAGUAAAGAGUUUGAAACUUAAAAAACCCUAACUAGCACUAACUAUUCAGAAAAGUCUGUUGGACUUGGACUUAUUCUUAGGCCCUAAAGCUAAACCCAUGAUGGGCGGUGGUCGGAAGCCUACUGUCUUUGCAUAAAUCUUUAUUUCGUUCUUUCAAUUUAUCUCUGUAGAUUAUUAACAACUUGGAAUUUUCUCCGUUUGUCGUUUCUAAUGCAAAUAUUGUCUAGGUUUUCUAUUGAAGGCUUAACUAUUACUAAAUUCUCUAACUUUACCAACUUCAAAUUUAGAUUUGAUAUGAC
rnacentral:lncRNA from 1 species